rnacentral:rRNA from 1 species
AAUCAACGCUGGCGGCGUGCCUCAGACAUGCAAGUCGAACGAGAACCUCCCUUCGGGGAGGGGACAGUGGCGCACGGGUGAGUAACACGUGGGUAAUUUACCUUUGGGUGGGGAACAACAGCCGGAAACGGCUGCUAAUACCGCAUAAUGCAGCGGCUCGACAUCGAGACAGUUGUUAAAGCGGGGGAUCGCAAGACCUCGCGCCUGAAGAGAAGCCUGCGGCGGAUUAGCUAGUUGGUAGGGUAAUGGCCUACCAAGGCGACGAUCUGUAACCGGCCUGAGAGGGCGGUCGGUCACACUGACACUGACAUACGGGUCAGACUCCUACGGGAGGCAGCAGUCGGGAAUUUUGGGCAAUGGGCGAAAGCCUGACCCAGCAACGCCGCGUGAAGGAUGAAGC